CCUGUGCUGCCUCCAGCUCCCAUCUGCCUGCUGCAGUUUUCUGCAGGGUGUCCUAUCUCAGGGUCCCCUCCAGGUGCUGCCUGCCCUGUGGGAUAGAGAUUGCUCUGGAGACACCACAGACCUGAUUUGAUAGAGGAUGUCACAGAUGCUGCUUUGCCCUGUUGAUGGUGUUCCCUGGCCCACCAGACUGCCCAGGUCCAUGGUGGCCUUGUAAAGCCAUGAGGUUGGAGUGCAUGGAGGAGGAUCAGGAUGAAAUUCCUCAGGAAUCAGGUGCUGCGUGGGCAGCCUUUGGAAUUGGACAAGGAUUUGAGCUGAGCUGGGCCAUGGUGAGGAGGAGCUCAGGACUGGUGAUUUCCCACAAGCGCAGUGGUAGUUUUCUGUCUUUUGGUAACUUUGGUGCCAUGAGUGAUGACAGCUGCAGCGUCCUGUCAUAACAGAUGAUGGAGAGUAACCUGCCAGCUGCAGGAAUGAUGCAGCUUCUCUUGAGGAUGGCUUCAGACCCCUCUGCCCUCUGAAAGCUCCACUGAGAGAUGGGGGACUGCUGCCCUCCUGUGUGUAGUUUUGACUUUGGCUAGAAAGAGACCCCAGUUUAGCACACCUUCCAAACAUGGCUGGCAUUGCUUCUGCAUGAGUGGUCUCACUUCCAAUGUGUGUGUGUGUCCCAGCAGCAUCUCUCUUGGGCAGUGCAGCUGGCCAAGUGCAGAUGUCCCUCCUAACUCUGUAACACAAAAACCCCUCGUCAGGGUAAAACCAUGUAUUUUGGGGAUGAAAAACUAAUUGGUACCAGUUUACAGCUGGGCAAGUUUAGUUAAUUGAAAAGGACGAUCGAAGACUUCUGUCAUAGGAGUAUUUUUACUGUGUGUGUAUAACCACACUCACCUGUCUCUUCAGAAUAAAGUCAGUUACUGAGAUUUGUUCUUUAUUUUA
rnacentral:lncRNA from 1 species